ACAGCGGCCACUUUAUUUAAAUGAGUGCAUCCCAACGGCAUAGUGGUCAGUGUGCUUUACGCAAAGAAAACGCCUUUAGGAGGCAGAGGUUGCUUGGGUUUCGCCAUCGUAACUAGUAGCAUAUUCAGGCAUUACACAACUAGUAACCGAACCUGGAAGUUCCGACUUGUGGACGGACGCCUGUCAGCGAAACUGCUUCUUGGUUGCGUUGCCGGACUCAGCAAAGUGCAAGCUCCUGGGGGAUUUCUGGCAGGUUAAACAUGCCCGUGAGGAAGAGGGAACUAGCAGAAUGGACUAAUGGUCUUGCAACACUAUUUUCUGGAAUCACUGAGGAAUCUUCUUGGGAUUUUGUUAAAGUGCAUUUAUUAUCAGAGUACAUGUAUGUUAUCGCGUACAACUAAGAUUUUUUUUCCUGUGGGCAUACUCAGCAAGUCUAUAGAACAGUAACAGGAUCAAUGAAAGAAGAAGUAGAGCACAGAGACAACAAACUGUGCAAAUGCAAAUAUAAAUAAAUAGCAAUAAAUAACGAGAACGUGAAAUAACAAGAUAAAGAUUCCUUAGAGAGAUCAUUGGUUGUGGAAACAUCUGAAUAGAUGGUUGCAGUUAUCCUCUUUUGUUUAAGAGCCUGAUGACUGAGGGGUAGUAACUGUUCUUGAACGUGGUGGUGUGAGUCUUGAGGCUCUUGUACCUUCUACCUGAUGACAGCAGUGAGAAAAGAGCAUGGCCUGGGGUGGUGAGGAUCUCUGAUGAUGGAAGUUGCUUUCCUAUGAUAGUGUUUCAUGUAGAUGUGCUCAACGGCUGUGAGGGUUUAACCCGUGAUGUACUGGGCCGAGUCCAUUACCUUUCAUAGGAUUUUCUAUGCAAAGGCAUUGGUGUUUCUAUUGCAGGCCACAAUGCAGCCAGUCAAUACAUGUUCCACUACACAUCUCUAGAAGUUUGUCGAAGUGUUAGA